UACGUAGGGGGCUAGCGUUGUCCGGAAUCAUUGGGCGUAAAGAGCGUGUAGGCGGCUCGGUAAGUCCGCUGUGAAAGUCCAGGGCUCAACCCUGGAAUGCCGGUGGAAACUGUCGAGCUAGAGUCCGGAAGAGGCGAGUGGAAUUCCUGGUGUAGCGGUGAAAUGCGCAGAUAUCAGGAGGAACACCAACGGCGAAGGCAGCUCGCUGGGACGGUACUGACGCUGAGGCGCGAAAGCGUGGGGAGCGAACAGG
rnacentral:rRNA from 1 species